rnacentral:lncRNA from 1 species
UCUCUCUCAAGGUAAGAAAAUUGGAUUUGUCUGAAUUUUACUGUGCUAUGUGCUUGCUUUAUACAUGGAGCCAGGCCUGGUGUGAACAGGGGCCAAGGCUACAGCCUUAUUCUUUUACUCUAGGUAAAAAGAUAAAAAUGUAAGUUCUCAUCACUUUUUUUUACUCCCCCGGAGUGCGUGCUAAGCUCAAUGAGGGCCUCCAAAACGACGUCGAAUAGCAAGCGCACGAAGCAGGGGCGAGCUCUAGGGGACUUGGGGCACUUGGCUCAGGAGGUUCGCAAGGACGUGGAGUUUCUGUAGCAGGGGAUUGGGAGUGGGAUUCAGUGGGCUAAUAAGGCUAUUCAAAUUCCAGAGGUUUCCAAGGCCCUAGACGACGUCGUGUGGCUUCGCAACCUCGAAGACCCCAAUGUUCUCAAGAAAAAUCAAAUACUUUGAAAGAAAGUCACGAAGAAGCUGUUCUAGAAUUGAAUAACUUCUUGAGAAGGUUAUGAAUAUGGUGGAAUUAUCCAAAUAAUAUUUAAAUUUGGGCCCAAAAUAGCCUAAAUAUGCCUUCUCGGUUAGGCCCAAACUGAUUCUAAUCGACCGAGAAUGUCAAUCUAGCCAAAUUUUCAGUAAACCUAUUUCUCUAUGUUCGAGAUCGGUACCAAAUUCCGCCAAACCGCC